GGGGCUGUAGCUCAGCUGGGAGAGCGACGCGUUCGCAACGCGUAUGUCGAGAGUUCGAUCCUCUUCAGCUCCACCA
rnacentral:tRNA from 1 species